GUGGAGCUUGCUCCAUGAUUCAGCGGCGGACGGGUGAGUAAUGCCUAGGAAUCUGCCUGGUAGUGGGGGAUAACGUUUCGAAAGGAACGCUAAUACCGCAUACGUCCUAYGGGAGAAAGUGGGGGAUCUUCGGACCUCACGCUAUCAGAUGAGCCUAGGUCGGAUUAGCUAGUUGGUGGGGUAAUGGCCCACCAAGGCGACGAUCCGUAACUGGUCUGAGAGGAUGAUCAGUCACACUGGAACUGAGACACGGUCCAGACUCCUACGGGAGGCAGCAGUGGGGAAUAUUGGACAAUGGGCGAAAGCCUGAUCCAGCCAUGCCGCGUGUGUGAAGAAGGUCUUCGGAUUGUAAAGCACUUUAAGUUGGGAGGAAGGGCAGUAAGUUAAUACCUUGCUGUUUUGACGUUACCAACAGAAUAAGCACCGGCUAACUUCGUGCCAGCAGCCGCGGUAAUACGAAGGGUGCAAGCGUUAAUCGGAAUUACUGGGCGUAAAGCGCGCGUAGGUGGUUCAGCAAGUUGGAUGUGAAAGCCCCGGGCUCAACCUGGGAAUUGCAUCCAAAACUACUGAGCUAGAGUACGGUAGAGGGUGGUGGAAUUUCCUGUGUAGCGGUGAAAUGCGUAGAUAUAGGAAGGAACACCAGUGGCGAAGGCGACCACCUGGACUGAUACUGACACUGAGGUGCGAAAGCGUGGGGAGCAAACAGGAUUAGAUACCCUGGUAGUCCACGCCGUAAACGAUGUCGACUAGCCGUUGGGAUCCUUGAGAUCUUAGUGGCGCAGAUAACGCGAUAAGUCGACCGCCUGGGGAGUACG
rnacentral:rRNA from 1 species